UACGUAGGGGGCAAGCGUUGUCCGGAAUCAUUGGGCGUAAAGAGCGUGUAGGCGGCUCGAUAAGUCCGCUCUGAAAGCCCGGGGCUCAACCCCGGGAGGCGGGCGGAUACUGUCGAGCUAGAGUCCGGAAGAGGCGAGUGGAAUUCCUGGUGUAGCGGUGAAAUGCGCAGAUAUCGGGAGGAACACCGGUGGCGAAGGCGGUUCUCUGGGCCUGUACUGACGCUGAGGAGCGAAAGCGUGGGGAGCGAACAGG
rnacentral:rRNA from 1 species